AUGAUUUGACGAAAGCAAAGUUUGAAGGACACAAUUGUUUUUUCAAUUAAAAAUCAUUAUUUAUAACCUUGUCAACGUCUUAACUAUUUCAUAUUCAUUUUGCAACUGAUUUCAUGCAUGUUUUCAUGGAAAACAAGGACAUUUCUAAGUGACCCCAAACUUUUGAACGGUAGUGUACCUUUAGCCCUGUUUAUACCAUCGGAACAAGGUGUCAUAAUACUCCACCUAAAAAUACAACAUGAGACCCAUGAAUACAAUACACGGGACCAGACCUGUAAUAACAAGUGCACAACAAUACACUGGACGAGACCCGUAAUAAUGAGUACUCAAUACACGGAGCACGAAAGCCGAGACAACAAAGCACAGGUACUCACAAGACCAACAGACAUGGGAGCAAUAACCGACCAAGGCAAUGGUGAACAGAGGGCACAUAUAUACACAUACUAAUCAGGGGGACAGGGAACCAGGCGUGCAUAAUGAGACAGUUCAGUGACGCCUAGAGACUGGUGACGUAGACCUCCGGAACUGGCACACGGAAUGAGCAGCAGUACCAGGGGAUCCGUGACAAAGACACAAUGUAUCAAAUGAAUUGAUAGGGAAAGUCUAAAGGGGAGCGAGAGACAGGCAUGUGAUAGUGAUGAUGAUGACAUCAUCAAAAAUGAUAUGCUGCCUGUAAUAUAGCCUAAAUGAUGAUCCCUGGUUAAUCCAUUCUAAUAAAGGGGGUGGUUAAAGACAUUCCAGUCAAAUGGGUAAAGAUAAGUGUCACAGUGUUGAAGUGUCAAUUCAUCGACGCUCAUCUUUUCCCAUUGACUGCGCGUAUGUUGACAUAAGCAUCAACUCUGUUACAAUUUUAUUUUCCCAUUCGUACCACAAAGCCGACUGGGAGCAUGACCAAUUGACAUAAGCGUCAAUUGGUUAAUGCCUAACUUUUUGAAAAAUUGUGAAAAGAAUGACGUUUUCCCAUUAUAUGUUUUUGGAUCAUAACAUUUCCUUGAUUAAUUGAGUGACAAUAUAUCAAUGUAUUAGAAACAUGUCAGGCAUAAGGUCAAUGGAAAAGGGAAAACGAUUAACGUGAAAAAAGGAAAGUGCACUCCAAUGACAUGUAAUGUACACUUCAGUUUUAUACAAACCUUCAGUAAAAAUACAUUGCAGUUCUGAAAUCAUUAUUGGUUCUCGCAAUGAAGGGAAAUGAUCAACUCAAGCUCCAAAUGAAACACCAUCCCUUGCCGUAACUGCAGCAACAUAAUUAUGGCUGCCCAUUUUAAUUACGCUUUAAUUACGGAGUGUGGGGCCGUCUGUGGUACGGUCUGUAGAUUAUGGCAUGUUUCUGCUUUAAUUACAGAGUGUGGGGCCGUCUGUAGAUUAUGGCAUGUUUCUGCUUUAAUUACAGAGUGUGGGGCCGUCUGUGGUACGGUCUGUAGAUUAUGGCAUGUUUCUGCUUUAAUUACGGAGUGUGGGGCCGUCUGUAGAUUAUGGCAUGUUUCUGCUUUAAUUACGGAGUGUGGGGCCGUCUGUGGUACGGUCUGUAGAUUAUGGCAUGUUUCUGCUUUAAUUACGGAGUGUGGGGCCGUCUGUAGAUUAUGGCAUGUUUCUGCUUUAAUUACAGAGUGUGGGGCCGUCUGUAGAUUAUGGCAUGUUUCUGCUUUAAUUACAGAGUGUGGGGCCGUCUGUGGUACGGUCUGUAGAUUAUGGCAUGUUUCUGCUUUAAUUACAGAGUGUGGGGCCGUCUGUGGUACGGUCUGUAGAUUAUGGCAUGUUUCUGCUUUAAUUACGGAGUGUGGGGCCGUCUGUAGAUUAUGGCAUGUUUCUGCUUUAAUUACGGAGUGUGGGGCCGUCUGUGGUACGGUCUGUAGAUUAUGGCAUGUUUCUGCUUUAAUUACAGAGUGUGGGGCCGUCUGUGGUACGGUCUGUAGAUUAUGGCAUGUUUCUGCUUUAAUUACGGAGUGUGGGGCCGUCUGUGGUACGGUCUGUAGAUUAUGGCAUGUUUCUGCUUUAAUUACGGAGUGUGGGGCCGUCUGUAGAUUAUGGCAUGUUUCUGCUUUAAUUACGGAGUGUGGGGCCGUCUGUAGAUUAUGGCAUGUUUCUGCUUUAAUUACAGAGUGUGGGGCCGUCUGUAGAUUAUGGCAUGUUUCUGCUUUAAUUACAGAGUGUGGGGCCGUCUGUGGUACGGUCUGUAGAUUAUGGCAUGUUUCUGCUUUAAUUACGGAGUGUGGGGCCGUCUGUGGUACGGUCUGUAGAUUAUGGCAUGUUUCUGCUUUAAUUACGGAGUGUGGGGCCGUCUGUAGAUUAUGGCAUGUUUCUGCUUUAAUUACGGAGUGUGGGGCCGUCUGUAGAUUAUGGCAUGUUUCUGCUUUAAUUACAGAGUGUGGGGCCGUCUGUGGUACGGUCUGUAGAUUAUGGCAUGUUUCUGCUUUAAUUACAGAGUGUGGGGCCGUCUGUGGUACGGUCUGUAGAUUAUGGCAUGUUUCUGCUUUAAUUACGGAGUGUGGGGCCGUCUGUAGAUUAUGGCAUGUUUCUGCUUUAAUUACGGAGUGUGGGGCCGUCUGUGGUACGGUCUGUAGAUUAUGGCAUGUUUCUGCUUUAAUUACAGAGUGUGGGGCCGUCUGUGGUACGGUCUGUAGAUUAUGGCAUGUUUCUGCUUUAAUUACGGAGUGUGGGGCCGUCUGUGGUACGGUCUGUAGAUUAUGGCAUGUUUCUGCUUUAAUUACGGAGUGUGGGGCCGUCUGUAGAUUAUGGCAUGUUUCUGCUUUAAUUACGGAGUGUGGGGCCGUCUGUAGAUUAUGGCAUGUUUCUGCUUUAAUUACAGAGUGUGGGGCCGUCUGUGGUACGGUCUGUAGAUUAUGGCAUGUUUCUGCUUUAAUUACAGAGUGUGGGGCCGUCUGUGGUACGGUCUGUAGAUUAUGGCAUGUUUCUGCUUUAAUUACAGAGUGUGGGGCCGUCUGUAGAUUAUGGCAUGUUUCUGCUUUAAUUAUGGAGUGUGGGGCCGUCUGUAGAUUAUGGCAUGUUUCUGCUUUAAUUACAGAGUGUGGGGCCGUCUGUGGUACGGUCUGUAGAUUAUGGCAUGUUUCUGCUUUAAUUACAGAGUGUGGGGCCGUCUGUGGUACGGUCUGUAGAUUAUGGCAUGUUUCUGCUUUAAUUACAGAGUGUGGGGCCGUCUGUAGAUUAUGGCAUGUUUCUGCUUUAAUUAUGGAGUGUGGGGCCGUCUGUAGAUUAUGGCAUGUUUCUGCUUUAAUUACGGAGUGUGGGGCCGUCUGUGGUACGGUCUGUAGAUUAUGGCAUGUUUCUGCUUUAAUUACAGAGUGUGGGGCCGUCUGUAGAUUAUGGCAUGUUUCUGCUUUAAUUACAGAGUGUGGGGCCGUCUGUAGAUUAUGGCAUGUUUCUGCUUUAAUUACAGAGUGUGGGGCCGUCUGUAGAUUAUGGCAUGUUUCUGCUUUAAUUACGGCACAUUUUGACGUAUUUUAGCUGCCAGUCAGACUACACAAAAGGGAAGAGAAAAAAACUAUAUUUAGGCAUUAAUUCUUGAGUAGUUAAGGGUUAAGGUUUGGCAUGGUGUUAAAACAGAAAAAGUAAAAUAACUAAAUGAGUGCCGAUCACUGGGGUUGAACCCCCAAUCCUCCCAGUUCAUUCCUCUCCUUAACCCAUCCACAACAUAGGCACUCACGUUGCCCCUAGUGGCUUGUAUGCGGAAACAAUCCGGCACACAUUUUAAUACCAGGGGCUCUAUUUUAAUGAUAUGGUAGUCGGUGCCAGGCACACCGGUUUGAGUGUGUCAAGAACUGCAACCCUACUGAGUUUUUCACACUCAACAGUUUCUGGUGUGAACCAAGAAUGGUCCACUACAAAAAUGACAUCCAACUAAUUUGACACAAAUGUGAGCAGCAAUGGAGUCAACAUGGGUCAGCAUUUCUGUGGAGUCCAUGCCGUGACGAAUUUAGGCUGUUCUGAGGGCAAAAGAGGGUGCAAACUCAAUAUUAGGAAGGUAUUCCUAAUGUUUUGUACAGUCGGUGUAAGCCUACUGUAAAAUGUAAAAAUUACUUUCUAAAUGUCCAAAAAAUAAUCACUGGAUAAUUUAAUGGAAACAUGGCUACUGAUACCUUUCAGGGGCAUCACACUUAAUGAGUCCAAACUUUUCACAGAACCUGGACAAAAAUAGUGUUCAACAUAAAUAAAAAGGGGAAUGUCUGACUGUUUGGCUAUUGUGAUAUUUUGAUGAUGCACAUAAGGCUACAUAAGGCUACUUUGUCAGCCUCCGUUGGCAAAAUCAAUGCCAUAAUCAAUUGCUUUACCACUAAGACCAGUCUUAAAUAUCCGUAGUUGCCCCCUGAAAUUCAGCGCAAGCCCGUUGAUGUUAGACAGGUAAAUCGCAGAACCUGGCGUAAGGGCUAGAAAGUGCCAGUGAGAUAGAUUGCAAUUUUGUCAUGUCAAAUAUAACGUGUGUUUGACACUUGCGCCUCAUUACCGCCAGCCGAAAAUAGCUCCCCAGGUGUAAUUGCAAGUAAAUGUGAGGCCCUUGUUCGGAAUGUAAUGUAAUCCUAUCACAGCUGUUCGUAUAAGGAUAUGCAAGGUGUAAAUUACCCCUCCAUAUCCCCUAACUUCUUCCUUAAGCACAUCCAAUACCAACUCUUCGAUUGUGCCACCUUACUGGGACCAGUCUCGAUUGCCUGGGAUUGGCUUUGAGGUAAUGGAAAAACAUCCCAAAAGCAUAAAACAUACAUGCAUUGUGUUAAUGUUCACUGUGGAUGGGAUGUUACAUUAAAUGAUCAGAUGAACUUGUUUGAAUACAAACCAGCAUCAUACUGUUCUGAACAAAUUGUAUAGCAUGUAGUACCACACGGUGUCUUCUAAAAGCAUGUAUUAUUGUGUAUGAAUGAGCUUACAAAGGGUUUUUCUUCACAGAGAGUUAUGUUGUCAAGCUCAACAGGUGAACACGAAGACAUCAAGGCCCUUUUUGAGAAAACUGUGGUGGGGUUUCAAAUACACACCAUUGAGAGAGUACAAAACCCAGCCCUAUGGAAGUUCUACGUGCUUAUUUGCAGAGACAACUUUGACUGGAGAAUAUGUGGAAAAAAUGGAACUUCCUACGGAAAAGGUGCUGGUGGGAGACUACACUGUGGGAAACAACAGAUAUGAGAAACCACCUCCUAAAGAAACCGGAGGAUCCAGCUUCUAUGACAGCUGUGUG